AGAUAAGAAGCGAAUAUUUUGCAAUCAAUUUCGACUUGAAGAAUAGGUUACACAAACCCUUGUCUU
rnacentral:tRNA from 1 species